AUGCGCCAGGCCCCAUGUGCCACCGGGUGGAGCGGCGCAGUGCGGUGGCCUCAGUCCCCGCGCAUCGCCGCCCAUGACCCCCCACCGGGCGUCCCCAACAGCCCGGUACCGCACCCACCCUCACUUCGCUGCCACCACCCGCGAACAGCUCCCACUUCGCCGCGCGCGCUCCCGUGCUAUCAGCCAAUGGCGGGGCUCGCGCUGCUGCGUCACCCGGGGGGCGGAGUGAAGCGAGGCGGGACUGCCUGGUGCUGUGUGAGGGUUGCUGGGAGGGCGGUGGUGUCACUGGCGGGUGGUGGAUGCAACGUCGAGAUGGCAUGCCCAGAGGACCUAGCUGCCCUGGCAGACAAGGACCUGCUUGGCUUUCUCCUGAGCAAUGACGCUCACAGCACUGCAGACCCAGGGGAGGAGAACCUCUUGCUGGAGGACUGGGGCAUGCCAGGGCCCAAGCCUGACUUCCCAGAGCUGAUGCUGAGUGAUGAAGAGAGGCAACUCCUGGAGAAAGAAGGUGUUUCAUUACCAACCUGUCUGCCACCGACCAAAGUCCUGGUUCUGUCCUGCCUCAUUCUCUCGCCCAGCUUCUACUCGUUUGGGAGCAGAGGGCUGCAGCCAGAGCUUGGAGCGCUAUUGUGGCAGAUUCGCGAGUUCCCAAAUCAGGCUUGGCAGACAGCACACAGCAGGCAGGAGGAAGCUGCGCUGGAGAGGCUCAGCCCCGAGCCUGAGGACACCUCACUGUUGGGCAGCCUCAGUCAGUCACAGGAAGAGGGGCAGAGUCCACCCAAGCCUGAUUUGAGAUCUGCAUUCAACAGCAACUCAUCCUCUGACCCUCCUGUGACAGCAGGCUCUGAGUUGAGCCGUCCCCAGCCACAGGAGCAGUGCUCCUGGAGUGACCCCGUGCACUCGGAGGUGCUGGUGCCAUGGAAAGCCAAGAGUCAGGAGUGGGUGGAGCGCGCUGCCACUGUUGUCAUCCAGCAGCACCAUGCUGAUGAGAUGUGACCCUCACCUCCUGCUUGCUGCCUACCAGGGUGAGGCAGGGCACCCUGUCAGGGAGGGACAAGCAGAGCUGUGUCAACAGAGAAUCUGUCAAAGCAAACGCUUUUAAAUCAUCUCCUGAUUGCUGGCAGCUCAGGGUUUACCAGAGAGGAAUCAUUUUACAGAUGAUCUAUUCCUACACCCUGCUUUGUAUACCUGUAGCAGGAGCCUGCCCGAGAUGGGGUGGGAAGCUCUGGGAGCUUUGUUCCCUUCCCCCUGGGCUGGGGAAGGGCUAUGGUAUGGAGGGUGAAGUCAGCUGGGCCUGAGAUGCCAAUACCUGGUCUGACUGGAGGCAGGUGGUGCUGAUUGCUGCUGUUCCACUUAUUUCCUGCCCAGAUGGAGAUGAACACUCAGUCCUGCUCUUCUUACUGUGUCUGGUGGCCACAAGCACUUCUUCCUUGUCCCUCCUCAGUAAUUCUGCAGUACUCUCUGGUGUUUGGGUGUGAGAUGGCAAGCUGGAUAGUGACCUUCAGUGACAAGCAGUGGUCCUGCCCUUGUGACAGCCCCUAUGCUUCCCCUGUUUCUGGUAGCUGUUGAGCCAUGGGCUUGCUGCUGGCCUGGCUAGAGAAGGUGUUGGGGGUUCCCAAGCUGUGUGAGCCAGUUCCCUUCGCAGGGGCUAAGCCUUUCUUCUUCCACAGCCUGAAGCCAGGCUUCUGCCCCUUGGGGAGAAGGAGCAAGGCUACUGGGGGAGCAGACCCAAGAGUUGCGAAGCCUCUUGCUCUUCUGAAGGCUUUCCUGUCUGCAGGCUGGGUAUGGAGCUGUGCCAAGCUUUGCAGUGAGGCAGUCAGCUGGCUCUAGCUGCUCUGUGGGGUGCAGCAGCUGCUCUGUGAGCUGGGGCUUGGUGUCCUUCCUGCAGUACAGCCCAGUGGUACCUGCUGAGCACCUCUCCUUGCCCUACUUCAGAUCUAAGCCGGUGAGGACAUUUCAUUGUUAAUGAAGUGGAAAUAAAAUAUGCUCUCUGUGUAACUGUGCCUUCCA
rnacentral:lncRNA from 1 species